rnacentral:rRNA from 1 species
UACGUAGGGUGCAGGCGUUAAUCGGAAUUACUGGGCGUAAAGCGUGCGCAGGCGGUUUCUUAAGUCAGAUGUGAAAGCCCCGGGCUUAACCUGGGAACUGCGUUUGAAACUGGGAGACUUGAGUGUGGCAGAGGGGGGUGGAAUUCCACGUGUAGCAGUGAAAUGCGUAGAUAUGUGGAGGAACACCGAUGGCGAAGGCAAUCCCCUGGGCCUGCACUGACGCUCAUGCACGAAAGCGUGGGGAGCAAACAGG